rnacentral:misc_RNA from 1 species
AACGCAUUUUGCACUUUGUCUCUGGCAAAGUAUAUCUGUUUGAGUAUCAUAAAACCCUGUUACAAUUGUAGCAUUAUGAAUCAUCAAGAAUUUGUCGUUCAAAAUAUAUAAAACAAAACUGUGUGGUAAUUAUUACACAAUUGUUCUAUCUAACUUUGAUCUCAAAUCAGAUAAGAAUACCCGCUGAACUUAA